CGCAGCGGUUGGCGGACUCCCUGAUCACGGGCUGUAUCAUCACGUCUGCACUUUGCAAACAGAUACCCGGCCCGCCAUCAGAGCGGGCUUUUUUUU
rfam:Klebsiella sp. RIT-PI-d NODE_1_length_2264346_cov_38.3847_ID_1, whole genome shotgun sequence.